rnacentral:rRNA from 1 species
UACGUAGGGUGCGAGCGUUAAUCGGAAUUACUGGGCGUAAAGCGUGCGCAGGCGGUGAUGUAAGUCAGGUGUGAAAUCCCCGGGCUUAACCUGGGAACUGCCUUUGUGACUGGCGGGCUAGAGUAUGGCAGAGGGGGGUAGAAUUCCACGUGUAGCAGUGAAAUGCGUAGAGAUGUGGAGGAAUACCGAUGGCGAAGGCAGCCCCCUGGGCCAAUACUGACGCUCAUGCACGAAAGCGUGGGGAGCAAACAGG